rnacentral:rRNA from 1 species
UACAGAGGUGGCAAGCGUUGUUCGGAAUUACUGGGCGUAAAGGGCGCGUAGGCGGCCUUCUAAGUCAGACGUGAAAUCCCCCGGCUUAACCUGGGAACUGCGUCUGAUACUGGAAAGCUUGAGUGCAGGAGAGGAACGCGGAAUUCCAGGUGUAGCGGUGAAAUGCGUAGAUAUCUGGAGGAACACCGGUGGCGAAGGCGGCGUUCUGGACUGCAACUGACACUGAGGAACGAAAGCCAGGGGAGCAAACGGG